UGAUCCUGGCUCAGAACGAACGCUGGCGGCAUGCCUAACACAUGCAAGUCGAACGAGACCUUCGGGUCUAGUGGCGCACGGGUGCGUAACGCGUGGGAAUCUGCCCUUUGCUUCGGAAUAACAGUGAGAAAUGACUGCUAAUACCGGAUGAUGUCUAGGGACCAAAGAUUUAUCGCCAAGGGAUGAGCCCGCGUAGGAUUAGGUAGUUGGUGGGGUAAAGGCCUACCAAGCCGACGAUCCUUAGCUGGUCUGAGAGGAUGAUCAGCCACACUGGGACUGAGACACGGCCCAGACUCCUACGGGAGGCAGCAGUGGGGAAUAUUGGACAAUGGGCGAAAGCCUGAUCCAGCAAUGCCGCGUGAGUGAUGAAGGCCUGAGGGUCGUAAAGCUCUUUUACCAGGGAUGAUAAUGACAGUACCUGGAGAAUAAGCUCCGGCUAACUCCGUGCCAGCAGCCGCGGUAAU
rnacentral:rRNA from 1 species